rnacentral:tRNA from 1 species
GGGGAUUUAGCUCAGCGGCAUAAGCACCUGCCUUGCAAGCAGGCAAUCCCUG